GGAUCAAUGCGUUGGUCGUGCCUUCGGUACGUACUAGCGUCAUUGAUUCCUCCCUUCUGAAGAACCGUGAUGUCAUUAAUUUGGUGUUACGGGGAAUCAGGACUGUUACCUUAAAAUUAAGAGUGUUUAAAGCAGGCUAACGCUUGAAUACAUUAGCAUGGAAUAAUGAAAUAGGACGUUCGAACCUAUUUUGUUAGUUUCUAAGAUCGACGUAAUGAUUAA
rnacentral:rRNA from 1 species